CCAAUAGCGUAUAUUAAAGUUGUUGCAGUUAAAAAGCUCGUAGUUGAAUUUUGGAUUCUUCCAAUUGGUCCAUCUUUUAGAUGAGUACUGGUUGUGUGGGGUCUAUCCGCCUGGUGAUACGUAAUGUCCUUUAUUGGAUGUUGCGGGUAGUCAGGACGUUUACCUUGAAAAAAUUAGAGUGUUUAAAGCAGGCUUAUGCCGGAAUACAUUAGCAUGGAAUAAUAGAAUAGGACGAAGUUGUUUUAUUUUGUUGGUUUCUAGGACAACCGUAAUGAUUAAUAGGGAUAGUUGGGGGCAUUAGUAUUCAAUUGUCAGAGGUGAAAUUCUUGGAUUUAUUGAAGACUAACUACUGCGAAAGCAUUUGCCAAGGAUGUUCUCAUUAAUCAAGAACGAAAGUUAGGGGAUCGAAGACGAUCAGAUACCGUCGUAGUCUUAACCAUAAACUAUGCCGACUAGGGAUCGGGCGAUGUUGUUUCCAUGACUCGCUCGGCACCUUAUG
rnacentral:rRNA from 1 species